CAAUCGACAGCACUAGCACAACAUAUAAAAGAGAGCGGACAUGCGGCAAACUUUAAGACAGUAAGAGUACUUGACAGAGAGAAAAUAGAGAACAAGCGAUACACAUUAGAGAGCCUACGGAUUCAACAAAUACUUAAAGAGUCGAUAAACACCAAAGAAGACAAAGACAACACUAAGCUGCAGUAUUCCAUUGCAAUAACUUGAAAACGACUGUUCUGUGAUAUUAGUAAUAAGUUUAGACUUUAUAUACUUCCCUCAAAGUGCAAUUAUUUAUAUUAUUAUAUUUUCUGUGUCGUGGUGUCCAGUUUUUAUAGUAAUAUAAGUAAUUCAACGAAGAUGUAAAAUUAAUCGAACUUCAAUAAACUCUGUCCUGAUGAAGUUGGAAAAAAUAACCAACGAAACGUCGAGAGAAAAAAUGAAAA